rnacentral:tRNA from 1 species
AUUCAAAUAGCUUAAAAAUAGCAUAGCGCUGAAGAUGCUGGGGUGACCAAAAGGUCUUUGAAUA